rnacentral:lncRNA from 1 species
AAGUCCUCAAGGCCUAAGGGAUUGUCCAGAGCCUAUAUAUCCCCUGCCAUGCACAUUCCCCAGAAGUCUACCGAAAUGGCCCAUUGUGGGCCUCUUUUCAAGAUGGGGCCUUCCAAGGGAAGCAUCUGCUGUCCUCUAAUUAUACUCCUAUGCUCAAGGGGUGGCUGUGUGCAGGAGAGGUGGAUGGACCUGAACACACAUACUCAUGAGGCACCUCACAACGCACAGUGAAGCUGGGGGCGGAAAGAGGAACCACAGGCUAGGGGGAGGUAAUCCCUAAUCCCUGUGCUACAUGUUCCUGCACUAAACUCCACAAAGUCCGGGAAUGCAAAAUGGAAGCCAGGCCUUACAGGUCACUCUGAAGAAAGAGAAAUAAUUCCUGUCCUG